AAGCUUCGUCUGGUCCCACUGGAACGGUGGCUAAUACCGGAUGUGCCGGAAGGUGAAAGGCUUGCUGCCUGAAGAUGAGCUCGCGUCCGAUUAGCUAGUAGGUGGGGUAAGAGCCUACCUAGGCGACGAUCGGUAGCUGGUCUGAGAGGAUGACCAGCCACACUGGGACUGAGACACGGCCCAGACUCCUACGGGAGGCAGCAGUGGGGAAUUUUCCGCAAUGGGCGAAAGCCUGACGGAGCAAUACCGCGUGAGGGAGGAAGGCUCUUGGGUUGUAAACCUCUUUUCUCAGGGAAGAACACAAUGACGGUACCUGAGGAAUCAGCAUCGGCUAACUCCGUGCCAGCAGCCGCGGUAAUACGGAGGAUGCAAGCGUUAUCCGGAAUGAUUGGGCGUAAAGCGUCCGCAGGUGGCUGUGUAAGUCUGCUGUCAAAGAGCAAAGCUCAACUUUGUAAAGGCAGUGGAAACUACACGGCUAGAGUGCGUUCGGGGCAGAGGGAAUUCCUGGUGUAGCGGUGAAAUGCGUAGAGAUCAGGAAGAACACCGGUGGCGAAGGCGCUCUGCUAGGCCGCAACUGACACUGAGGGACGAAAGCUAGGGGAGCGAAAGGGAUUAGAUACCCCUAUGUAGUUCA
rnacentral:rRNA from 1 species